CAGGGAGUUCUGCCCCUGCCAAGGGGUGCUGGCCACGCAGGAGGCUUAACCUGGCCGGCGCGGGAAUGGGGUGCAGAGAGCAAAGAAAUGUGGCUUUGAUCUUAUGGAUGCCUUACUUUUACAUUAUUUGUACAGUUCUUGCAGUGAGCUUUCCGGACCACUGUCUUGUAUGUUUCCUAAGAAAAGCAAAAAGGGAAGAGGUUGAAGAGAAAGUAGAUUUUCAGCUACAAACUUUCAUCCAUUAGCUUUCAGCUUAAGCAAAUGUGCGCAAAGUUGUCAUGGAUUUUUGCAGUCAAUAAAAACCAAGCAAGAAGACUGAAUCCCAAGUCAUCUGGUAUAAAUGGAAGCAGUUUCUGUGAUAGUUCCACCCGGUCAGAAGGGUCAUCCUGGCUUAGGAGAGGGGCAGAAGGGGAAAUGCACGCGUGGAAACAGGAGUGGGCAGGGAGGAUGUGACACUGUCCUCCUCACCAGGCCACGUUCCUGGCACCAACCAUAGUGUUUGUGAGGGUCAAUUUAAUUGUUCUUGUGCUCUGAUAGAGGAAGCUGUGUCUUUCAUCCCCUUGUAAGUUUUCACUGAUGAAGGGGGUCUUUUAUCUUCAUAUCUUGGGAACUACUGAAACUGUUUCAAAGAGUCAAAGACACCAAUAACUAACAGAAAUUCUUGUUUUCAGGGGCAGAUAAGAAAAGAAACAAUUUGCUGAAACUCCCUCUGCUUAUAACAAAACUGACUGAAAUCAGCCGGAAUCAAUAUGGCCAAAUGCAGUUUGCGCACAGCAAGCUUGCUGAUGUCACAGCCGAAUUUCUACUGCAUGUUUCAUACGAACUCCCUCCAAAUUUGCACAUGGGACCUACCAGGAAGCAUGAAGAGAGAGCCAUGCAUGCCUGAAGACUUCCCAGAUGUUCCCUUUGCUUCCACCAAUCACCUGCUAACCCCAGGAUCCAACCCUAAACCUUUUGUAAUAAAAUUACUGCCCUAAAGCCAGUACAAGACAGAAUUGAACUGGACUUCUGUUUCCUCAGAAGUUAACUUGCAAUGUGAAGUUUUUCUUUUCUCAUACACUUGGUGUCAUAGUGUUGGCUUCUAGUGCAGUGAGCCCCUUUUGCUGGAUAACACUACCUGGUAAUUUGACAUACUAGGUGGUUAGUAACUACUGACUGUCUCCAGGUUACAACACAGUUAUUACCUACUUGGGUGAAAAGAGAAGACAGGAAAUACAUUUUGGAGUUGGCUGGCAACCUGUUUACAAAGCGAUUUACAACAGUUCCUUAUUCUUAAGGGGCUAUUCUAAUAUAAGACCUCAGAGAAACAGUGCAGUGUGACAAAGGAGGAAUUUAUCAAAGGAGACAGAAAAAGCAUCAAGGCAAGCUGUGAAAUGGUGCUGUAGGAACCAAAUAGAGAGCCAAAGGAUCUCUCCGUCACUGCAGGCCCUUAGGGCUGAACUCUGAGAACACCACAACUUCACAGAGACUGCUGGUUUUCUGCAAUUAGCAGCAAGAGUCCUGACUCAGGGAAGUUGCUCUCCAGUCCAGACUAGCAAAAGACGGAGACAAUGGGCUCUGCAGAAGACAGAUCCAGACAAGCCAUGCAUGAUUCAUGCCACCUGCAGCCACACGGGUGUCAAUAUCAAGAACUUGCCAUAUGUCAUCAAGAGUGUGUUAAGUGAAACCUUCUCAAGAGUUAUUCUUUUGUGCUCUGUCCAAAUCUGGAGAACCCUUCCAAAUACUAUAAAGAUUGAUAUCUUGGCCGGGCCCGGUGGCUCACACCUGUAAUCCCAGCACUUUGGGAGGCUGAGGCAGGCAGAUCACAAGGUCAGGAGUUCCAGACCAGCCUGGCCAACAUGGUGAAACCCCAUCUCUACUAAAACUACAAAAAUUAGCCAGGCGUGGUGGUGUGCGCCUGGAAUUCCAGCUACUUGGGAGGCUGAGGCAGGAGAAUCACUUGAACCCGAAAGGCUGAGGUUGCAGUGAGCCAAGAUCACACCACUGAACUCCAGCCUGGGCAACAGGAGUGAAACUCCGUUUCAAAAAAAAAAAAAAAAGACUGAUAUCUUGACCAUAUAGAGACUCCUCCCAACUGAUCAUUUUUGUUCACAUUCUGUUGUACAGAAUAUGAACAUUUGGAAGGCAGCAGUCUUUCCUAAGAUUUAAAUGAUUGCCAAUAAUAUUUAAAUGAUCAUUAAUACUCAUUUAAAUUAAUAAUAAUAUUUAAAGUUAUUUUGGGGUGUACUGCAUAAUGUAAUCCUCAUGUCAGAAGACUUAAAGGGGCUCAAAAGGAAAAGUCACUGCAUUUGUUUUUGGUAAUAAACAUGCCCCACUUCUUACUUUC